AUUGAACGCUGGCGGCAUGCCUUACACAUGCAAGUCGAACGGCAGCACGGGAGCAAUCCUGGUGGCGAGUGGCGAACGGGUGAGUAAAGUAUCGGAACGUGCCCAGUCGUGGGGGAUAACGUAGCGAAAGUUACGCUAAUACCGCAUACGAUCUAUGGAUGAAAGCGGGGGAUCGCAAGACCUCGCGCGAUUGGAGCGGCCGAUAUCAGAUUAGGUAGUUGGUGGGGUAAAGGCUCACCAAGCCGACGAUCUGUAGCUGGUCUGAGAGGACGACCAGCCACGCUGGGACUGAGACACGGCCCAGACUCCUACGGGAGGCAGCAGUGGGGAAUUUUGGACAAUGGGCGCAAGCCUGAUCCAGCCAUGCCGCGUGCAGGAUGAAGGCCUUCGGGUUGCAAACUGCUUUUGUACGGAACGAGAAGGUUUGGCUUAAUACGUUGAACUCAUGACGGUACCGUAAGAAUAAGCACCGGCUAACUACGUGCCAGCCGCCGCGGUAA
rnacentral:rRNA from 1 species